AGACGGGACCCCGCACAAGCGGUGGAGUAUGUGGUUUAAUUCGAAGCAACGCGAAGAACCUUACCAGGUCUUGACAUGGUGUUUAAGGCCCUAGAGAUAGGGAGAUAAUAAACACACACAGGUGGUGCAUGGUUGUCGUCAGCUCGUGUCGUGAGAUGUUGGGUUAAGUCCCGCAACGAGCGCAACCCUUGUCUUUAGUUACCAUCAUUCAGUUGGGGACUCUAGAGAGACUGCCGGUGAUAAACCGGAGGAAGGUGGGGAUGACGUCAAAUCAUCAUGCCCCUUAUGACCUGGGCUACACACGUACUACAAUGGCGCAUACAACGAGCUGCGAGAUGGUGACAUCAAGCGAAUCUCUUAAAAUGCGUCUCAGUUCAGAUUGGAGUCUGCAACUCGACUCCAUGAAGUCGGAAUCGCUAGUAAUCGCGGAUCAGCAUGCCGCGGUGAAUACGUUCUCGGGGUUU
rnacentral:rRNA from 1 species